UUGACUUCUACAUAUUUUUAGUAACCAGUCUCUUGUUUUAUUCUUUCUCCACCGGUAACUCAACAAUACUAUCUAGUUUUAUUACUAGUUAAUAAUCAACAAAGAGGUUAUCGUAACGUACAUUUACUUAGAAUUAUCAUAUAUAAAGUUAAGGUCAAAAAGAAAAGGUAGAAAAGUCAAACAAUUUAUAAAUUCAAGAUAAAACUGUUUAAAACAUGAUUUCACCGUGUAUGAGAAGAUUAACUUGCCCUGUAAAUGUCUUUAAAUUAAACUGGCCUCUUCGAGAGCCCUGUGAGCCGUGGUUUCUCUAAGGACCAAGAUAGUAGACAACGAUGAGAGACAAGAAGAAAAUAGCAGAAGUCCAAGUCUUUUCUUUCCCAUAAGUUAGAUAAGAGUAAAGAGAUAAUUUAGUUUCUACUGUUACUGUAGCUGUUUCCGAACUUUUACUAUUUUGUAACACCCACCGACGUUGACUGGCUGAGCUCGAGCGAAGUCGGAGGAGGCUAGGACGUCGAUGACAGAGGGGUUCGUUUCAGUUGGAUGUUGUUGUUCC
rnacentral:rRNA from 1 species